ACAUGCUUACAACAUAGUGUUAAUGCACCAAAUCCCAUUAGAACUCUGCAGUUAAGCACGCUUGGGCUAGAGUAGUACAGGGAUGGGCGACCGCCCAAGAAGUCCUAGUGUUUUACAUGCC
rnacentral:rRNA from 1 species